rnacentral:rRNA from 1 species
GACGAACGCUGGCGGCGUGCCUAACACAUGCAAGUCGAACGAGAAUCGGUGGAUAGAGGCUUCGGCCAAUUGAAAUCGAGGACAGUGGCGGACGGGUGAGUAACGCGUGAGGAACCUGCCUUUCAGAGGGGGACAACAGUUGGAAACGACUGCUAAUACCGCAUAACGCAUAGGGGUCGCAUGAUUCUUAUGCCAAAGAUUUAUCGCUGAAAGAUGGCCUCGCGUCUGAUUAGCUAGUUGGUGAGGUAACGGCCCACCAAGGCGACGAUCAGUAGCCGGACUGAGAGGUUGAACGGCCACAUUGGGACUGAGAUACGGCCCAGACUCCUACGGGAGGCAGCAGUGGGGAAUAUUGGGCAAUGGGCGCAAGCCUGACCCAGCAACGCCGCGUGAAGGAAGAAGGUUUUCGGGUUGUAAACUUCUUUUGUCAGGGAAGAGUAGAAGACGGUACCUGGCGAAUAAGCCACGGCUAACUACGUG